UUCUAGAAUUUCUGAAAGCACCACCACAAGGCAGCUGACAUUUUUAUUUUACAGAUGGGCAAGCUGAGGUUCAUGGAGGGAAGAACUUGUCUGAGGUAUCAGAGCGUGGCUCUGUCGAAGAAAAUGUUUGUGUGAGAAUGAGUUGGGGCAUGCAGACCUGAGCUGCCCCAGGCUGCUCCAGCCAAGACUGAUCCAGUGCAGCAGACAUGCAGAUGCAGAAGCCAGUUCUAGGCACAAUCAGUGGAACUGCCCACCCAAGAUGAGCCAAGCCCCAUAUCAUCCCACAGCUAUAGGAGCUCAAUAAAUGCUAUUGCUGCAAACA